UUGCGGCUAGGUGGACGAUGCUGCCGCUCACAUCGCAAGUCGAGCGGACAGAUGGGAGCUUGCUCCCUGAUGUUAGCGGCGGACGGGUGAGUAACACGUGGGUAACCUGCCUGUAAGACUGGGAUAACUCCGGGAAACCGGGGCUAAUACCGGAUGGUUGUCUGAACCGCAUGGUUCAGACAUAAAAGGUGGCUUCGGCUACCACUUACAGAUGGACCCGCGGCGCAUUAGCUAGUUGGUGAGGUAACGGCUCACCAAGGCGACGAUGCGUAGCCGACCUGAGAGGGUGAUCGGCCACACUGGGACUGAGACACGGCCCAGACUCCUACGGGAGGCAGCAGUAGGGAAUCUUCCGCAAUGGACGAAAGUCUGACGGAGCAACGCCGCGUGAGUGAUGAAGGUUUUCGGAUCGUAAAGCUCUGUUGUUAGGGAAGAACAAGUGCCGUUCAAAUAGGGCGGCACCUUGACGGUACCUAACCAGAAAGCCACGGCUAACUACGUGCCAGCAGCCGCGGUAAUACGUAGGUGGCAAGCGUUGUCCGGAAUUAUUGGGCGUAAAGGGCUCGCAGGCGGUUUCUUAAGUCUGAUGUGAAAGCCCCCGGCUCAACCGGGGAGGGUCAUUGGAAACUGGGGAACUUGAGUGCAGAAGAGGAGAGUGGAAUUCCACGUGUAGCGGUGAAAUGCGUAGAGAUGUGGAGGAACACCAGUGGCGAAGGCGACUCUCUGGUCUGUAACUGACGCUGAGGAGCGAAAGCGUGGGGAGCGAACAGGAUUAGAUACCCUGGUAGUCCACGCCGUAAACGAUGAGUGCUAAGUGUUAGGGGGUUUCCGCCCCUUAGUGCUGCAGCUAACGCAUUAAGCACUCCGCCUGGGGAGUACG
rnacentral:rRNA from 1 species